rnacentral:tRNA from 1 species
UAGCUCAGUGGUAGAGUGCUUGCCUCUCAUGCAUGAGGCCCUGGGUUCGAUUCCUCAG